UGGUCGGUUUUUUAUCGUCUGUUAUCAUGCCUGUCACGUUCUAACAAGUAUGUAAGUGCGAAAGUGCCGCAUGACAUGACAAGUGAUAAAAAUGCGACCAUGAUACCGCCGCAGUAGGGCUAAGGUGGUCGGCUCUUUAUCAUUUGUCACCAUGCCUGUCACGUUCUAACAAGUAUGUAAGUGCGAAAGUGACGGAUGACAUGAGAGGUGAUAAA